UACUUGAAGGGGGAACGGGGGGGGGAAUGAGACAAAAGCGUCUACCCUGGAGCCCACGUGGUAAGGAUGGCUACAGCAUUUUGCGCAUGUGUGAUGCGAAAGCUGCGUUAAGUACCGGUGAAGAACCAGGCUGCGAUGAUUGUCAGGUUUCAUUUGUGUUCUCUAUCGAGCCAUCAAUGAAGAAGCAUAUUUGUUUGCCUCCAGUAAAAAAACAUCACCACAGCUUCCCUGAAUCCUGAACGGAACAUUGGUAAAGAUGUUUAUGCUGUGUUACUUCUCACCAACAAUUAGAGAGUUCCAGGUGACAACAGCCCUGUGAGGCAAUUCACACUUCUGUCCUGGAGAAGACUGAAAAAUGGAGUUCAGCAUGAAUUGUUUUCCAAAGAACUGUGAAGACUUAAAGAGCUCUCCUCUUUCCUUGGAAGGACCACCAUUAACAGUAGCAUAAAGCUGUUUGCUUCUCCAUUCUGUAUAAUUACUCUUUUUCUCUUAUUCUGUGACAAAGCAAUCUUCUUGAACUAAACUUUCUGUAAAAUUCUUCAUCCUUCUAGUGUUUUUAAGAUUAAUCUUUUUGUUUGUUUCUGAGACCAUGCUUGUGGCUCUGUCUGAUGAGCUUUGCAUAGACAUAGGAUCCUGUUGAUUCCUUGGGUCUUUGACCUUCAAUAAUGUUGGUCAUUAGAUGCUAAUAACUAACCUGUGGGGCUUGAUGGUUAAAUGGUGGGCAAGACACUCCUGGGGUUGGUUUUGAGUAGUUGUGCUAGUUUCGCCUGUAGAAGACCACAGAAGUUAGUGAUGGAUGAGAGCUUAUUUAAUCUACAGUGCCUUCCUUGCAGAAUCACCCUGGGUUUUAAAGAAUCAGCCUGGGUUUUAACACUUGAGAUAUAUGUUUUUAGGAUACUCUGUAGUUGUGAAUGUAAUUUUUUUAAACUGUUUUUAAUAAUAUGUUUUAUAUUGUUGUGACCUGCCCUGGGACCUACUGGUAAGGGUGGGUAAUAAAUUUGAUGAUCGUUGUCGUCAUUAUCUCUCAGGGUUCCAUCUCAUCGGUCCUUCUUUACUUCUAAUGUUUAUUAUGCUAUUUAUACCAG